AUUGAACGCUGGCGGCAUGCCUUACACAUGCAAGUCGAACGGCAGCGGACCUUCGGGUGCCGGCGAGUGGCGAACGGGUGAGUAAUAUAUCGGAACGUACCUUUCAGUGGGGGAUAACGUAGCGAAAGUUACGCUAAUACCGCAUAUUCUGUGAGCAGGAAAGCAGGGGAUCGCAAGACCUUGCGCUGAUUGAGCGGCCGAUAUCAGAUUAGCUAGUUGGUGAGGUAAAGGCUCACCAAGGCGACGAUCUGUAGCGGGUCUGAGAGGAUGAUCCGCCACACUGGAACUGAGACACGGUCCAGACUCCUACGGGAGGCAGCAGUAAGGAAUAUUGCUCAAUGGCCGAAAGGCUGAAGCAGCAACGCCGCGUGGAGGAUGAAAUAACUUUAGUAUGUAACUACCU
rnacentral:rRNA from 1 species